rnacentral:rRNA from 1 species
AGUGAACGCUGGCGGUAGGCCUAACACAUGCAAGUCGAACGGCAGCACAGUAAGAGCUUGCUCUUACGGGUGGCGAGUGGCGGACGGGUGAGGAAUACAUCGGAAUCUACUUUUUCGUGGGUGAUAACGUAGGGAAACUUACGCUAAUACCGCAUACGACCUACGGGUGAAAGCAGUGGAUCUUCGGACCUUGCGCGUUUGAAUGAGCCGAUGUCGGAUUAGCUAGUUGGCGGGGUAAAGGCCCACCAAGGCGACGAUCCGUAGCUGGUCUGAGAGGAUGAUCAGCAACACUGGAACUGAGACACGGUCCAGACUCAUACGGGAGGCAGCAGUGGGGAAUAUUGGACAAUGGGCGAAAGCCUGAUACAGCCAUACCGCGUGGGUGAAGAAGGACUUCGGGUUGUAAAGACCUUUUGUUGGGAAAGAAAAGAAGCAGGUUAAUACCCCGCUGUUCUGACGGUACCAAAAGAAUAAGCACCGGCUAACUUCGUG